rnacentral:rRNA from 1 species
AUGAACGCUAGCGACAGGCCUAACACAUGCAAGUCGAGGGCAGCACAAGGAGCAAUCUGAGGUGGCGACCGGCGCACGGGUGAGUAACACGUAUGCAACCUGCCUGUAAGCGGGGAAUAACCCGUUGAAAGACGGACUAAUACCGCAUAAUACUAAAUUACUGCAUGGUAAUUUAUUUAAACAUUUAUGGCUUACAGAUGGGCAUGCGCAUGAUUAGCUAGUUGGAGAGGUAACGGCUCCCCAAGGCAACGAUCAUUAGGGGUUCUGAGAGGAAGGUCCCCACACUGGUACUGAGACACGGACCAGACUCCUACGGGAGGCAGCAGUGAGGAAUAUUGGUCAAUGGACGAGAGUCUGAACCAGCCAAGUCGCGUGCAGGAAGAAUGUCCUAAUGGAUUGUAAACUGCUUUUGCAGGGGAAUAAAGUGCAUCACGUGUGAUGUUUUGUAUGUACUCUGCGAAUAAGGAUCGGCUAACUCCGUGCCAGCAGCCGC